CUACGGGUCGCACCAGUGGGGAAUUUUGGACAAUGGGCGCAAGCCUGAUCCAGCCAUUCCGCGUGAGUGAAGAAGGCCUUCGGGUUGUAAAGCUCUUUCGCAAGGGAAGAAAACUUAUCCUCUAACAUAGGGUGAGGUUGACGGUACCUUGAUAAGAAGCACCGGCUAACUACGUGCCAGCAGCCGCGGUAAUACGUAGGGUGCGAGCGUUAAUCGGAAUUACUGGGCGUAAAGCGUGCGCAGGCUGUUUUGUAAGUCAGAUGUGAAAUCCCCGAGCUCAACUUGGGAACUGCGUUUGAAACUACAAGACUAGAAUAUGUCAGAGGGGGGUAGAAUUCCAUGUGUAGCAGUGAAAUGCGUAGAGAUGUGGAGGAAUACCAAUGGCGAAGGCAGCCCCCUGGGAUAAUAUUGACGCUCAUGCACGAAAGCGUGGGGAGCAAACAGGAUUAGAUACCCUCGUAGUC
rnacentral:rRNA from 1 species